GAUGAACGCUGGCGGCGUGCCUAAUACAUGCAAGUCGAGCGAACAGACGAGGAGCUUUCUCCUCUGACGUUAGCGGCGGACGGGUGAGUAACACGUGGAUAACCUACCUAUAAGACUGGGAUAACUUCGGGAAACCGGAGCUAAUAACGGAUAAUAUAUUGAACCGCAGGGUUCAAUAGUGAAACACGGUUUUGCUGUCACUUAUAGAUGGAUCCGCGCCGCAUUAGCUAGUUGGUAAGGUAACGGCUUACCAAGGCAACGAUGCGUAGCCGACCUGAAAGGGUGAUCGGCCACACUGGAACUGAGACACGGUCCAGACUCCUACGGGAGGCAGCAGUAGGGAAUCUUGCGCAAUGGGCGAAAGCCUGACGGAGCAACGCCGCGUGAGUGAUGAAGGUCUUCGGAUCGUAAAACUCUUUUAUUAGGGAAGAACAAAUGUGUAAGUAACUAUGCACGUCUUGACGGUACCUAAUCAGAAAGCCACGGCUAACUACGUG
rnacentral:rRNA from 1 species